rnacentral:rRNA from 1 species
CCUACGGGUGGCAGCAGUGGGGAAUAUUGGACAAUGAGGGGAACCUUGAUCCAGCGACGCCGCGUGCGUGAAGAAGUAUUUCGGUAUGUAAAGCGCUGUCAGCAGGGAAGAAAGUAAUGACGGUACCAGGCUAGGAAGCUGCGGCUAACUAGUUGCCAGCAGCCGCGUUAAUACGUAGGGGGCAAGCGUUAUCCGGAUGUACUGGGUGCAAAGGGAGCGAAGACGGCGAUGCAAGUCUGAGGUGAAAGGCGGGGGGCCAAACCCCGGACUGCUUUGGAAACUGUAUGGCUGGAGUGCAGUAGAGGUAAGUGGAAUUCCAAGUGAAGCGGUGAAAUGCGUAGAUAUUAGGAGGAACACCAGAGGCGAAGGCGGCUUACUGGACUGUAACUGACGUUGAGGCUCGAAAGCGUGGGGAGCAAACAGGAUUAGAUACCCCAGUAGUC